UACGUAGGGGGCAAGCGUUGUCCGGAAUUAUUGGGCGUAAAGAGCGUGUAGGCGGCCUGGAAGGUCAGCUGUGAAAACUCGAGGCUCAACCUCGAGACGUCGGUUGAAACCACCUGGCUAGAGUCCGGAAGAGGAGUGUGGAAUUCCCGGUGUAGCGGUGGAAUGCGCAGAUAUCGGGAGGAACACCCGUGGAAGGCGGCACUCUGGGACGGUACUGACGCUGAGACGCGAAAGCGUGGGGAGCAAACAGG
rnacentral:rRNA from 1 species